rnacentral:rRNA from 1 species
UACGUAGGGUGCAAGCGUUGUCCGGAAUUAUUGGGCGUAAAGGGCUCGUAGGCGGUCCAUCACGUCGGGAGUGAAAAGCUGGGGCUUAACCCCAGUCCUGCUUCCGAUACGGGUGGACUAGAGGUAGGCAGGGGAGAACGGAAUUCCUGGUGUAGCGGUGAAAUGCGCAGAUAUCAGGAGGAACACCGGUGGCGAAGGCGGCUACCUGGACAAUUGCUGACGCUCAGGCACGAAAGCGUGGGGAGCAAAAGGG